GACGAACGCUGGCGGCGUGCUUAACACAUGCAAGUCGAACGGUGAACGAGGGAGCUUGCUCCCUCCGGAUCAGUGGCGAACGGGUGAGUAACACGUGAGCAAUCUGCCCCGGACUCUGGGAUAAUCGUUGGAAACGACGUCUAAUACCGGAUACGACGCGGGCGGGCAUCCUCUCCGCGUGGAAAGAACUUCGGUUCGGGAUGAGCUCGCGCCCUAUCAGCUUGUUGGUGAGGUAACGGCUCACCAAGGCGACGACGGGUAGCCGGCCUGAGCGGGUGACCGGCCACACUGGGACUGAGACACGGCCCAGACUCCUACGGGAGGCAGCAGUGGGGAAUAUUGCACAAUGGGCGCAAGCCUGAUGCAGCAACGCCGCGUGGGGGACGACGGCCUUCGGGUUGUAAACCUCUUUUAGCAGGGAAGAAGCGAUAGUGACGGUACCUGCAGAAAAAGCGCCGGCUAACUACGUG
rnacentral:rRNA from 1 species